rnacentral:rRNA from 1 species
GAUGAACGCUGGCGGCGUGCCUAAUACAUGCAAGUCGAGCGAAGCGGGGACGGGUGAGUAACACGUGGAUAACCUCCUAUAAGACUGGGAUAACUUCGGGAAAACGGAGCUAAAACGGAUACUUAUAGAUGAAUCCAGGCUGCAUUAGCUAGUUGGUAAGGUAACGGAUUACACAGGCAACGAUGCAUAGCCGACCUGAGAGGGUGAUCUGCCCCACUGGAACUGAGUCACUGUCCAGACGCCGACGUGCGGCAGCAGUAGGGAAGCUUCCGCAAUGGGCGAACGCCUGACGGUGUAACUCCGCGUGAGUGAUGUAGGUCUUCGGAUCGUAAAACGCUGUUAUGAGGGAAGCGGUACCUAAGCAGAAGGCCACGGCUAACUACGUGCCAGCAGCCGCGGUAAUAC